GCCGGGUUGGCACAGUGGCGACUGCGCCUCAUUUGUAAUGAGGAAUUACCAGGGGUUCGAGUCCCUUACCCGGCUCCA
rnacentral:tRNA from 1 species